UGGCUCAGAACGAACGCUGGCGGCAGGCUUAACACAUGCAAGUUGAACGGGAUUCAAGGUAGCUUGCUAUUUGGAUGAGAGUGGCGCACGGGUGAGUAAUACGUGGGAACAUACCUAUUGGUUCGGAACAACUGAUGGAAACGUCAGCUAAUACCGGAUAAGCCCUGAGGGGGAAAGAUUUAUUGCCGAUAGAAUGGCCCGCGGCAGAUUAGGCAGUUGGUGGGGUAAAGGCCUACCAAACCUACGAUCUGUAGCUGGUCUGAGAGGACGAUCAGCCACAUUGGGACUGAGACACGGCCCAGACUCCUACGGGAGGCAGCAGUGAGGAAUAUUGGGCAAUGGGGGAAACCCUGACCCAAGCCAUGCCGCGUGAGUGAAGAAGGUUUUCGGAUUGUAAAGCUCUUUCGGGAGAGAAGAUGAUGACGGUAUCUCCAGAAGAAGCCCCGGCAAACUUCGUGCCAGCCGCGGC
rnacentral:rRNA from 1 species